rnacentral:rRNA from 1 species
CAAUAGCGUAUAUUAAAGUUGUUGCAGUUAAAAAGCUCGUAGUUGAACCUUGGGUCUGGCUGGCCGGUCCGCCUCACCGCGAGUACUGGUCCGGCUGGACCUUUCCUUCUGGGGAACCUCAUGGCCUUCACUGGCUGUGGGGAGGACCAGGACUUUUACUUUGAGGAAAUUAGAGUGUUUCAAGCAGGCGCACGCCUUGAAUACAUUAGCAUGGAAUAAUAGAAUAGGACGUGUGGUUCUAUUUUGUUGGUUCUAGGACCGCCGUAAUGAUUAAUAGGGAUAGUCGGGGCGUCAGUAUUCAGCUGUCAGAGGUGAAAUUCUUGGAUUUGCUGAAGACUAACUACUGCGAAAGCAUUCGCCAAGGAUGUUUUUCAUUAAUCAGGGAACGAAAGUUAGGGGAUCAAAGAUGAUCAGAU